GGUGGCUGUUUACCUAAAAAAAAACAUAUGUCUCUGCAAAGUCGCAAGAUCAUGAAUGGAAACUGAUACUUGCCCAGUACCGAAAAGUUAAGAAAGUUAAAGAACUGGUAACAGGAAAGUCGGCGAUUGAACGGCGGUCCUAAAGUAGCGAAAUUCCUUGUCGGGUAAGUUCUGACCCACACAAAAGGUGUAACGAUU
rfam:Oryza sativa Japonica Group DNA, chromosome 6, cultivar: Nipponbare, complete sequence.